AUACUUACCUGGCAGGGGAAAUACCAUGAUCACGAUGUGAUUUUCCCAGGGCAAGGGUUACCCAUUGCAUUUCGGAUGUGCUGACCCCUGCAAUUUCUCCAACUGUGGGAAACUCAAAGGCAUAAUUUGCAGUAGUGGGGGACUGCAUUCCCACUCUCCCCAU
rnacentral:snRNA from 1 species